GACGAACGCUGGCGGCGUGCUUAACACAUGCAAGUCGAACGGAAAGGCCAUGCUUUUGUGGGCUACUCGAGUGGCGAACGGGUGCGUAACACGUGAGUACCCUGACCUUGCCUUUCGGAUAACGUCAGGAAACUGGGGGUAAUAACGGCUAGGAGCUCAUACUACAUGGUGGGGGAUGGAAAUUUACGGCGGGUGGGGAUGGCAUCGCGGCUUAUCAGCUCGUUGGUGGGGUAGCGGGUAAGCAAGGCAUUGACGGGUAGCCGGCCUGAGAGGGUGACCGGCCACAUUGUGACUGAGAUACGGGCCAGACUCCUACUUGAGCCAGCGGUGAGGAUCAGUGCACGAUGGGCGGAAGCCGUAUGCAGCGACGCCGCGUGCGGGAUGACUGCCUUCGGGGUGGAACCCGCGUGCGCGUGGGACGAAGCGUGAGUGACGGUAAUGGGUAAAGAAGCACCGGCUAACUACGUG
rnacentral:rRNA from 1 species